UGUUUAUCGAAACUACAUCAAUCAACUUUUCAACUAUGCAGGUGAUCGAUCUGGAGAGAUGAAAACAGUCUUAUGAUCUUCACACAGUCUCAGCUUUUUGGCAUUUACUAAUAUCUGAUGAACGGAUUUCAAAAUGUACAAGGCAUCAUAUCAAAGAUUGCAUAUGCCCGAAAGAAGGACAAAUCCAAUUUGGCUCUCUGGAUGUAUGGAAAGCUCUCAACCUUCCAGAAAAGGACUGUUCAAAGGAACACUUAAAUCCCUCCGACAGACAAAGAUAACCUCUCUAGGCCCUCUGGUGGUGACGUAUAAGUGCUUUCUCAGUACUUUCUCUCGCUUUUGGACAAAUCCAGUGAGUUAACUUUUUAUCAGUGGUCGACCGGGGGCAGGAUUCUGACCGGGGCCGGGGAGCC